rnacentral:rRNA from 1 species
UACGGAGGGUGCGAGCGUUGUCCGGAAUCAUUGGGCGUAAAGGGCGCGUAGGUGGGCAGUUAAGUCAGUGGUGAAAUCUCCGGGCUCAACCCGGAAACUGCCAUUGAUACUAUCUGUCUUGAAUAUCGUGGAGGUAAGCGGAAUAUGUCAUGUAGCGGUGAAAUGCUUAGAUAUGACAUAGAACACCAAUUGCGAAGGCAGCUUACUACCCGAAUAUUGACACUGAGGCACGAAAGCGUGGGGAUCAAACAGG